rnacentral:rRNA from 1 species
UACGUAGGGACCGAGCGUUGUCCGGAAUCAUUGGGCGUAAAGAGCGUGUAGGCGGCCACUUAAGUCCUGCGUGAAAUCCUGCGGCUCAACCGCAGGCGGUCGUGGGAAACUGGGUGGCUAGAGUGCGGGAGAGGAGAGUGGAAUUCCUGGUGUAGCGGUGGAAUGCGCAGAUAUCAGGAAGAACACCCGUGGCGAAGGCGGCUCUCUGGAACGCAACUGACGCUGAGACGCGAAAGCGUGGGGAGCGAACAGG